rnacentral:rRNA from 1 species
UACGGAGGGUGCAAGCGUUAUCCGGAUUCACUGGGUUUAAAGGGUGCGUAGGCGGGCAGGUAAGUCAGUGGUGAAAUCUCCGAGCUUAACUCGGAACUGCCGUUGAUACUAUUUGUCUUGAAUAUUGUGGAGGUAAGCGGAAUAUGUCAUGUAGCGGUGAAAUGCUUAGAUAUGACAUAGAACACCAAUUGCGAAGGCAGCUUACUACACAACGAUUGACGCUGAGGCACGAAAAGCGUGGGGGAUCAAACAGG